rnacentral:rRNA from 1 species
GACAGCAGUCGCCGCGGUAAUACAGAGGGUGCAAGCGUUAAUCGGAUUUACUGGGCGUAAAGCGUGCGUAGGCGGCUUCUUAAGUCGGAUGUGAAAUCCCUGAGCUUAACUUAGGAAUUGCAUUCGAUACUGGGAAGCUAGAGUAUGGGAGAGGAUGGUAGAAUUCCAGGUGUAGCGGUGAAAUGCGUAGAGAUCUGGAGGAAUACCGAUGGCGAAGGCAGCCAUCUGGCCUAAUACUGACGCUGAGGUACGAAAGCAUGGGGAGCAAACAGGAUUAGAUACCCGUGUAGUCCCUGUCUCUUAUAC